AUUUAAACCUCAAUUCCUCAACCCCAACUCACCUCUUCAUCUGUUCAUUUAACAAAAAUCUGCAGAUUCUCCCUACGAAUCCCAGCUGGUGCGGCGCGACUAGGAUGUGAACUUUAAAUUCUUGCAGUUAAUUUUCAAAGCUCAAAAGUUCAAGUUUCAGUUUCAGGUGAAUGAUAUUGGAGGCGCGUGGAGAGUCGAAUGGGCGCGUCGCAUCUAUUUAAAAAUAAAUGUUUCUUAAAACAUAUUAUGUUAUUUCAUGUGAUAUCUUUUGGUUAUGUAAACUCUGAAAUUCUAUACUAUUUGAGAUUUGUGUGUGAUUUGUCUAAAUAAAUGUUGUUAUAUUAUUUUAAUGUCAUGACUUGUUUAAUUUAUAUUUAAAUUCAUUUCAAAUAUUUAUUUAAGAA